GACGUAGGGGGCCAGCGUUGUUCGGAAUCACUGGGCGUAAAGGGUGCGUAGGUGGGUUGGUAAGUCAGUGGUGAAAUCUCCAGGCUUAACUUGGAAACUGCCAUUGAUACUAUCAAUCUUGAAUACCGUGGAGGUCAGCGGAAUAUGUCAUGUAGCGGUGAAAUGCUUAGAUAUGACAUAGAACACCAAUUGCGAAGGCAGCUGGCUACGCGGAUAUUGACACUGAUGCACGAAAGCGUGGGGAUCAAACAGG
rnacentral:rRNA from 1 species